rnacentral:rRNA from 1 species
AUUGAACGCUGGCGGCAGGCCUAACACAUGCAAGUCGAGCGAGCGGCGGACGGGUGAGUAAUGCCUGGGAAUUGCCCAGUCGAGGGGGAUAACAGUUGGAAACGACUGCUAAUACCGUAUACGAUUGGAUUGCCCAUGUGGGAUUAGCUAGUUGGUGAGGUAAUGGCUCACUAAGGCGACGAUCCCUAGCUGGUCUGAGAGGAUGAGCAGCCACACUGGAACUGAGACACGGUCCAGACUCCUACGGGAGGCAGCAGUGGGGAAUAUUGCACAAUGGGCGAAACCCUGAUGCAGCCAUGCCGCGUGUAUGAAGAAGGCCUUCGGGUUGUAAAGCACUUUCAGCGAGGAGGCGUUACUCGCAGAAGAAGCACCGGCUAACUCCGUGCCAGCAGCCGCGGUAAUUC